CGUGUAGGCGGCCACGCAGGUCCAUUGUGAAAACUGGAGGCUCAACUUCCAGACGUCGACGGAAACCGUGUGGCUAGAGUCCGGAAGAGGAGAGUGGAAUUCCUGGUGUAGCGGUGAAUGCGCAGAUAUCAGGAAGAACACCAAUGGCGAAGGCAGCUCUCUGGGACGGUACUGACGCUGAGACGCGAAAGCGUGGGGAGCGAACA
rnacentral:rRNA from 1 species